AAAUUGAAGAGUUUGAUCAUGGCUCAGAUUGAACGCUGGCGGCAGGCCUAACACAUGCAAGUCGAGCGGUAGCACAGAGAGCUUGCUCUCGGGUGACGAGCGGCGGACGGGUGAGUAAUGUCUGGGAAACUGCCUGAUGGAGGGGGAUAACUACUGGAAACGGUAGCUAAUACCGCAUAAUGUCGCAAGACCAAAGUGGGGGACCUUCGGGCCUCAUGCCAUCAGAUGUGCCCAGAUGGGAUUAGCUAGUAGGUGGGGUAAUGGCUCACCUAGGCGACGAUCCCUAGCUGGUCUGAGAGGAUGACCAGCCACACUGGAACUGAGACACGGUCCAGACUCCUACGGGAGGCAGCAGUGGGGAAUAUUGCACAAUGGGCGCAAGCCUGAUGCAGCCAUGCCGCGUGUGUGAAGAAGGCCUUCGGGUUGUAAAGCACUUUCAGCGGGGAGGAAGGCGUUAAGGUUAAUAACCUUGGCGAUUGACGUUACCCGCAGAAGAAGCACCGGCUAACUCCGUGCCAGCAGCCGCGGUAAUACGGAGGGUGCAAGCGUUAAUCGGAAUUACUGGGCGUAAAGCGCACGCAGGCGGUCUGUCAAGUCGGAUGUGAAAUCCCCGGGCUCAACCUGGGAACUGCAUUCGAAACUGGCAGGCUAGAGUCUUGUAGAGGGGGGUAGAAUUCCAGGUGUAGCGGUGAAAUGCGUAGAGAUCUGGAGGAAUACCGGUGGCGAAGGCGGCCCCCUGGACAAAGACUGACGCUCAGGUGCGAAAGCGUGGGGAGCAAACAGGAUUAGAUACCCUGGUAGUCCACGCCGUAAACGAUGUCGAUUUGGAGGUUGUGCCCUUGAGGCGUGGCUUCCGGAGCUAACGCGUUAAAUCGACCGCCUGGGGAGUACGGCCGCAAGGUUAAAACUCAAAUGAAUUGACGGGGGCCCGCACAAGCGGUGGAGCAUGUGGUUUAAUUCGAUGCAACGCGAAGAACCUUACCUGGUCUUGACAUCCACAGAACUUUCCAGAGAUGGAUUGGUGCCUUCGGGAACUGUGAGACAGGUGCUGCAUGGCUGUCGUCAGCUCGUGUUGUGAAAUGUUGGGUUAAGUCCCGCAACGAGCGCAACCCUUAUCCUUUGUUGCCAGCGGUCCGGCCGGGAACUCAAAGGAGACUGCCAGUGAUAAACUGGAGGAAGGUGGGGAUGACGUCAAGUCAUCAUGGCCCUUACGACCAGGGCUACACACGUGCUACAAUGGCAUAUACAAAGAGAAGCGACCUCGCGAGAGCAAGCGGACCUCAUAAAGUAUGUCGUAGUCCGGAUUGGAGUCUGCAACUCGACUCCAUGAAGUCGGAAUCGCUAGUAAUCGUAGAUCAGAAUGCUACGGUGAAUACGUUCCCGGGCCUUGUACACACCGCCCGUCACACCAUGGGAGUGGGUUGCAAAAGAAGUAGGUAGCUUAACCUUCGGGAGGGCGCUUACCACUUUGUGAUUCAUGACUGGGGUGAAGUCGUAACAAGGUAACCGUAGGGGAACCUGCGGUUGGAUCACCUCCUUA
rnacentral:rRNA from 1 species